UACAGAGGGUGCGAGCGUUAAUCGGAAUUACUGGGCGUAAAGCGUGCGUAGACGGUAGCGUAAGUCAGAUGUGAAAGCCCCGGGCUCAACCUGGGAAUGGCGAUGGAUACUGGCUCGCUAGAGUGCGGUAGAGGAGAGUGGAAUUCCCGGUGUAGCAGUGAAAUGCGUAGAGAUCGGGAGGAACAUCAGUUGCGAAGGCGGCUCUCUGGACCAGCACUGACACUGAGGCACGAAAGCGUGGGGAGCAAACAGG
rnacentral:rRNA from 1 species